UGCGUAGGCGGAUUAAUAAGUCAGUGGUGAAAACCUGCAGCUUAACUGUAGACUUGCCAUUGAUACUGUUAGUCUUGAGUACGGUCAAGGUAGGCGGAAUGUGUAAUGUAGCGGUGAAAUGCUUAGAUAUUACACAGAACACCGAUUGCGAAGGCAGCUUACUGGGCCAUUACUGACGCUGAGGCACGAAAGCGUGGGGAGCAAACAGGAUUAGAUACCCUGGUAGUCC
rnacentral:rRNA from 1 species